AUUGCUUCUCAGCCUUUUGGCUUAGAUCAAGUGUAGUAUCUGUUCUAACAGGUUUAAUAAAAUACUACAACUAUUUUUUUCUUUACAUUUUGUUAGUUGAGCCACACUAA
rnacentral:snRNA from 1 species